ACCUUACUGCCAAGUUUUACACCCUAAUAAACACAAUGAAAUCACAAUGAUCAACAUUUUAGUGGUUGCUAUGGGACUAACAGUGACAUCAACACAGCAUCAUGUAACAGCAAUGAAGGCACAGGGGAAGUAACCAAGGGGUACUGUUAGAUACCCAAAGAAGGAACCAUUAAGGAAACACUAAUAGACCAGCUGACAUUCUUCCUUUGUGUCCUACUCAAGAAAUAUCAGCUCUUAAAGAAACUGCUAAUAGUUAAGUCAUGGUUUUUAGUCUAAAAUCCUGACUCAGAAAUGUUACACAAUCUUCAUGGGAAUCUAGGAAAAUGUGAUGAUUUAUCUAAGAAACUAAGGUGGCACAAAGAAGAAACCCAGUUGCAGUUAGUGAUGUAAAUUUCCAUCUAUGUACUGCUUUAGCAGUGUGGUAGGCAGAAUAAUGGACCACACCAAAGAUGCCAACGUCUUAAUGCUUUUAACCUUGUGAAUACGUAGCCCUACCUGGCAAAACUGACUUUACAAAUGUGAUAAUAAAGGAUCUUGUGAUGAGGAGACUAUUAUCCUGGAUUAACCCAGUGGAUCCAAUGUAAUCGAAAGGCUCAUUACAAGCAAAAGAGGGAGGUAGGAGAAACACAGAGAGAUUUGAAGAUGCUAUGUUGCUGGCUUUGAAGAUGGAGGAAGGGGACACAGCCAAAGAAUAGACUGUUUGGAUUCUUUGCAAAUACUUGAGGAAGAAACAAUAUCAAUUUUACACCAACUCUCCCAGAAUAUUGAAGGAGAAAACUCACUAACUCAUCAUUUGAGGUCUGCGUCGUUACCCAGAUACCUAAACAUGACAAUCACCAGAAAACUACAGGAAAAAAUAUAGAAAAAAACUGAUUAUAAAAUGAAUCUAGAAAAACAAAGGACCUAGAAUGGCCAAAACAACUUUGAAAAAGAAGAAUGAAGUUGGAGGGCUUAAUACUCGGAUUUUAAGACUUAUUACAAAGCUUCUCUAUCACGACCGUGUGGUAUGAGCAACAAGAAAAGACAACCGGAUCAACUGAAAAAAAUAGAGAAUCCAUUCAAUCGACUCUCAUUAUACAGGGUCUCACUUUGUCGCCCAGGCUGAAGAACAGUGGCUCAAUCACGGCAGACUGCAGCUUCAACUUCCCUGGUUCAGGGACGAAAGGUCUCCAUAUGUUGCCCAGGCUGGUCUUGAACUCUACAGGUGGUACAUUCAAUACCAAGCUGAGAACACCCUCUCAAACUGAGAUGAGAAACAGACUCAAAGAGGUUAGGAAAUUCACCCAUGGUCACAGAGAUAGACAAGGAAAAACGGACUCUCUGGACUGUGAUGGCAGCACUCGGAGAACUAACAGUAGUGGCAGCAGCAGGAACAAUGACUGGAGUGUGAGGAGGAGAAGCUGGAGGAGUUGGAGGAGUUGGAGGAAAGGAAGGAACUGUGGAAGGGGUGAUGGGAGCUGGGAUACACUCCAGUUUCAUUUCUUCUGGGGGAUUUUCAAGAAUCUCCAAUUCAAGAGUCAAUGGCAAUACUUCCUGUUUUACUAUUUCCACAA